UGAGCAUCAAUGAUGAAUUCUCACAAUCGUUAUCCUUGCGCUUUGAUUUACAGUGAAGAUAAUCAUGGGGACUGUAAUUUCUGAGAUGCUU